GAUAGCCAUAGUUUGGCAGAAAGAGCAAGGAGGGAGAAAAUAAAUGCUAGGAUGAAGCUGCUGCAGGAAUUGGUCCCCGGUUGCAGCAAGAUAUCAGGCACGGCGCUGGCGUCGGACGAAAUCAUCAACCACGUCCAGUCAUUGCA